rnacentral:rRNA from 1 species
GCCAGCAGCUACAGCACCCUGUAAUUCACAGCUGCCAGCCCACUGGAGCUCAGCAGGGUGAGCCUGGGCAGUACCUGGACGGGAGACUCCUGGGAAAGCUAAGGCUGCUGGUG